UACGGAGGGGGCUAGCGUUGUUCGGAAUUACUGGGCGUAAAGCGCGCGUAGGCGGCUUUGUAAGUUAGAGGUGAAAGCCCGGAGCUCAACUCCGGAACUGCCUUUAAGACUGCAUCGCUAGAAUCUUGGAGAGGCGAGUGGAAUUCCGAGUGUAGAGGUGAAAUUCGUAGAUAUUCGGAAGAACACCAGUGGCGAAGGCGGCUCGCUGGACAAGUAUUGACGCUGAGGUGCGAAAGCGUGGGGAGCAAACAGG
rnacentral:rRNA from 1 species